rnacentral:rRNA from 1 species
GGCGGCGUGCUUAACACAUGCAAGUCGAACGGUGAAGCUCCAAGCUUGCUUGGGGUGGAUCAGUGGCGAACGGGUGAGUAACACGUGAGCAACCUGCCCCGGACUCUGGAAUAAGCGCUGGAAACGGCGUCUAAUACUGGAUAUGACAUCAAGCCGCAUGGUUAUGGUGUGGAAAGUUUUUCGGUCCGGGAUGGGCUCGCGGCCUAUCAGCUUGUUGGUGAGGUAAUGGCUCACCAAGGCGACGACGGGUAGCCGGCCUGAGAGGGCGACCGGCCACACUGGGACUGAGACACGGCCCAGACUCCUACGGGAGGCAGCAGUGGGGAAUAUUGCACAAUGGGCGAAAGCCUGAUGCAGCGACGCCGCGUGAGGGAUGACGGCCUUCGGGUUGUAAACCUCUUUCAGCAGGGAAGAAGCGAAAGUGACGGUACCUGCGGAAGAAGCACCGGCUAACUACGUGCCAGCAGCCGCGGUAAUACGUAGGGUGCGAGCGUUGUCCGGAAUUAUUGGGCGUAAAGAGCUUGUAGGCGGUUUGUCGCGUCUGCUGUGAAAAUCCGGGGCUCAACCCCGGACUUGCAGUGGGUACGGGCAGACUAGAGUGUGGUAGGGGAGACUGGAAUUCCUGGUGUAGCGGUGAAAUGCGCAGAUAUCAGGAGGAACACCGAUGGCGAAGGCAGGUCUCUGGGCCACUACUGACGCUGAGAAGCGAAAGCAUGGGGAGCGAACAGGAUUAGAUACCCUGGUAGUCCAUGCCGUAAACGUUGGGCGCUAGGUGUGGGACUCAUUCCACGAGUUCCGUGCCGCAGCUAACGCAUUAAGCGCCCCGCCUGGGGAGUACGGCCGCAAGGCUAAAACUCAAAUGAAUUGACGG